rnacentral:rRNA from 1 species
GUGGAACAGGUGCUAAUACCGGGAUAAGAAAGCAGAUCGCAUGAUCAGCUUUUAAAAAGGCGGCGUAAGCUGUCGCUAUGGGAUGGCCCCGCGGUGCAUUAGCUAGUUGGUAAGGUAAAGGCUUACCAAGGCGAUGAUGCAUAGCCGAGUUGAGAGACUGAUCGGCCACAUUGGGACUGAGACACGGCCCAAACUCCUACGGGAGGCAGCAGUAGGGAAUCUUCCACAAUGGACGCAAGUCUGAUGGAGCAACGCCGCGUGAGUGAAGAAGGUUUUCGGAUCGUAAAGCUCUGUUGUUGGUGAAGAAGGAUAGAGGUAGUAACUGGCCUUUAUUUGACGGUAAUCAACCAGAAAGUCACGGCUAACUACGUGCCAGCAGCCGCGGUAAAU